UUGAAGAGGAGGGGCUUCCUCUGGUGGUAGCUAGUGAUACCAAACUCAAUUAAUUCAGCCGUUUUGCGAGCAACAAUGGACGACGAGUUGAUUUCUCUCGGUGCUCUAUACUUGUUGUGGAAGUCGCAGAAACGUCGGAGAGUCAAACACCGCCGUGCUUGGGUUAACAACACAAUUCAGAGGCGCACACAGCUUGGUGAAUUUCACGGGCUUCUCCAGGAACUGCGUCUGGAUGACGGCCGCUUCCAGCGCUACCUGACACUGAGCCGUUCCCAGUUUGAAGACCUGUUUACUCGAAUCGGUGCCAGGAUUUCCCGCAUGGACACCAACUACCGGCGGUCCGUCUCAGCUGCGGAGCGCCUUUCCAUCUGUCUCCGGUACUUUACCACAGGUGACUCAUUCAGGAGCAUCGCGGACAGUUUCUGUGUUGGGGUCUCCACCGUCUCCAUGAUUGUCCGUGAUGUUGCAACAGCAAUUUGGGACUGCCUCGUGGAUGAGUUUAUGGCUGUGCCCACCGCAAACGAGUGGCGGUCAAUUGCAGAGGCGUUUGAGGAGCGGUGGAAUUUUCCUCUCUGUUGUGGAGCACUGGAUGGGAAGCAUAUUGUCCUCAAAGCCCCUGGCAAGUCAGGAUUAAAGUUAAAAGGACCUUUCUCAUUGGUUCUCUUGGCAGUUGUGGAUGCUCAGUAUUGUUUCCGAGUGAUAGAUGUCAGGGGCUGCAGAAGAACCACUGAUGGUGGGGUUCUGGCCAACUCGGCUUUUGGUCAAGCGCUGCGCUCUGGCACCCUCCAAUUGCCUGCUGACCUGCCACUACCAGGAGCUGAUCACCGAGGACCCCAGCCACACAUCUUUGUUGCAGAUAAGGCUUUUCCACUCCAGAAAAAUCUCAUGAGACCAUUCCCAGGACGCAUCAUUCCAAAAGAGCACCGGAUCUUUAACUACCGUCUCUCCCGAGCUCGGCUGGUGGUGGAGAAUGCCUUUGGGGUUCUUUCUGCCCAGUGGAGGAUGUACAGACGUGACAUGGCGGCUCAUUACGAAGUUGCAGAGAAGUGUGUGAAGGCUACCUGUCUUCUCCAUAACUUCCUGCGGAAAACAACCCAGGCAUCUGCGGUGAGGGGAGGCAUCCAGUUUGAAGAGGUAGAACCACUGCCAGGUCUCGGAAGACUUGCCGCCAACAACUCAACAAGAGAGGCAAGAAGGGUCAGGGAGGCCUUCACAGCCUUCUUCUCGGCUGAGGGAACUGUCCCAUGGCAAGACGCAGGCAUUUAUGAUAAAGACACUCGCACCUACAAGUUGGAUGACUUGACGAAACUCAAAACUAGCGAGCUUAAGGCAGAGCUCCAGUGCCGUGGUCUGAACGUCAAUGGCCUGAAGCCGGACCUGGUUGAGCGGCUCUCGGCGGCACUGAACAAGGAAGCGCGGGCCAAGUCUUCUGGCCUAGGGACCGAGGAGCAGGGCGACAUGGAAGAAGGACAAAAAAUGCAAGUGCAGCAAGGCCGCUGUCACAGACUGUGUAUGAGCUACACACAGGAUUUCAGUAGGUCCUGUUCUGAUCACGUGACCAUAAUGAGCCAAUCAAACAGUUUGGAGGAGUGUUGCGUGUUGUUCCAAAGUUUGGAAAGAUAACACAAAAAAGUUUUUAAGAAUGAAUGGACGGAAGCCGCCUCAGCCGUUGAGUCUCAUGUUGGUUAUAUGCUCCACGGCUAUAAUGGAAAAAGGUAACUCGGAAGCCAGGACUCGAAAGAUAACCCAAUUGAGGCCAAUACAGCAGAGUUGCACGACUGAGAAGCCAACAAAGAGCAAAUAAAUGAUCGCGCUGGAUAGUGUGGAUUUGGGGGCAACGUAUACGAGCAUUUUGGGACAUUUCGGUCGUAACAGAAUGUGCAUAUGCAUUACUUGAAGGUGAUGUGCUGCUCAAGAAGGACGAAGACAGAGAUUCGGGUGGCUACUACAAGGAGGAGGAGACUGAGCCCGAAGCUGAAUGUAAGCCAUACGUGAGUCAGCCAGUGUCGUACUCUGGCCACAGCG